rnacentral:lncRNA from 1 species
UAUUCUUGAACUGAUUUCCUCAAAAUAUUUGACACAAUACGAUGUCAUAAUUUGAAAUUUUAAUGAAAGGAAGAGACGCCAAUAUAGUUGUUUGUUGUGGCCGAGAUGUUUUAAGAACAUUCAAGCAACAAAGACACUUUCACAUAAUUAUAAAUUGAAGCCCCAAUUAUAAACUAAAGAAAUUGUUCAUCCAAACCAUACCUGAUGCAUUACUUGUUUCAAACAAAUUGUUAUUUUAACAGUUAUUUAUCCAAGCCAUACACAAGGUGAACAUGUAUUUCUUUGAAUACUUAGUAAGCCUAAGUUAUUCAUUAUUAAAAAUAUUUGUAAAGAUUCAACCUGUCGUUACGUACUUUACUGAGAGAGAACAGCCACUUCCUUGUGCAGUAUCAUAUAGAUGACACACUACAAGUUCGCACUAGAGGAUUCAUCAAACAUAUUGGAGAGGUAUAAAUUUAAUCUUUUUAUAAACAAUUAAAAAAAAAAAACAGUCCUAAGAGUAAUGCACAUUCCAAUAGAAACGAAUAAUUAGUAGUACUACGAAAAUCUUGUAUAGAAUAAAUUGCUAUUUUAAAAUAGUUAGUAUCAUAGAAAUACACGUUUAAUGUUAAACGUAUUUAAUUUCUUACAUAUGGCCUUGACUGGCUAUACAGCCCUUGCACGAUCGGUAUUUUUAAUUUAUUAUAGAUUCAAGACCAGUUUUAUGAAAAAAAUAUAUUUAAAAAAAUGGUAUUUAAAAUAUUAAUAUCUUCUUUCAUUUUUAUAAUUAUGUUGUUAUACGGAACAAACCUGCUUUACACUUUCAAUUUUUUUUUCUAAGCAGUCAAUGUAUGAAGUUAAUAAUUCAGCAACGACAUUUACUAAGGUAAACACAAAUGUUAUGCACUGUAUCUUUUAAGGGGAAAUAACUCAUCAUUGAUUUAUGGCAAUAAUAAUUUCAGUGCUGAGAUGAGGUGUUUUAUUUAGUUUAUACAUUUGAUUUUAUGCAAUUUAAAAAUAAUGAAUUAUAAAUGUAUAUAUUAUUUUCUGUGACUGUAUCUUACAUUAAUUUGUAGGAUCAUUUACUAUAGACAAUUUAGCUGAUCUGUAAAAAUAACAUCUUCAUGCCUUAUAUAUCAUGUACUGUAGUACGACGCUAGAUUAAAACUGACGUGGAAAGGUACCAGCUGGCCACUGAAAGCUUCACUUUUAUGCGAAAGCAAAUUUACAGAUCUAACAUUGUUGGGUUGAUGUUUAGACGAGUUGUAUGUAUAUUUAUAUUUAUUCUGAUUCAUAUAUCGUAAAGUUACUUACAUAGGCUUACUUAGGUAAAUGACCUCCUGAUGUGGAACUAUUAUUCGUUGUUCAAUGAGUGAAUAAUCGGUCACAUUUUUUAUUUCGCAGUUGUUUUCUUUUAAAAAAAAGCUGUAACAAACAAUUGAAGAUCAAUAUUAUCGUCAUCACCAAUUUUUUUCUCUCUUAAUUUUUAAAUCACACAAAAUUUAAGCAUUACGUUGUAGAAUCAAUUCUUACAUUCUUCUUCAAUUAGUUUCAUUUUCGUGAAACUGAGUGCAAUUGUUUAGAUUUUUAAAAGUGAUACCAGCCAGUCAACAUAUGAUCAACAGUAUAGCUCAUUCAAUUCACCGACAACCAAUCCCCUUCUAUCUACAAACCAGCCGUUUCAACAUUCAAGUCAAGCCAACCACAGCCAGUCAGCUAUCUCACUAGUCCAGCCAAUGAACAGUCCCUCACAUCUACCCCACAUAUUUAGAUUUCCGGAACCAACAACACCAUUUCCAGAUAUACAAGACAGACUUAACAACAGUUAACAGAAGGCAUCUGACAGACAGGAAGUUUGACAGGGUUUACCAGCGUCUUGCCACACUUGAAAAAAAAACAGAAAUAAAGAACAACCAACAAGCCAUAAUGUCCAUUUUAUCAACAGCCAUUCAUCUUGCAAGGAAGCAUCUCAACACCACCCUCUACUCUGUACCAAUGCCAGCCAAUAGCAACAAAUCCAGACAUAUCCAUUUUUAGAUGUCCAAGAGAUGUACCAAUUCCAAUGGCAGACCUCAACUCGGCGAGUAUUCACAACAACUGCCCAGGACAGUUCGCCACUAAACUGUUAGAACGUCUGUUUCCUGAACUAUUCACCACCAAGAAUUGCAGAUUGCAGCGAUGGAAAAUGUAAUAAGACAGAACUACCAUAUGAGAGAAAGACAGUAUUCCAAAGAUAUGUUCUGUACUUCUAUCCAGGGUUGUCAGAGCCAAGAGCAUGGAAAGAUGCCAUCAUACCAAGGGUCAAUGAGUAUUUAAGGAAACCAGCAACAAAACAGUAAAUCCGUC